rfam:Schistosoma mansoni strain Puerto Rico chromosome 2, complete genome
GCACUGCUGAGGAGUCCCAUAAUAGGACGGAACGGCCGUUCAGUGC